AUGCAGCGACGCCGCGUGAGGGAUGACGGCCUUCGGGUUGUAAACCUCUUUCAGUAGGGAAGAAGCGUAAGUGACGGUACCUGCAGAAGAAGCGCCGGCUAACUACGUGCCAGCAGCCGCGGUAAUACGUAGGGCGCAAGCGUUAUCCGGAAUUAUUGGGCGUAAAGAGCUCGUAGGCGGUUUGUCGCGUCUGCCGUGAAAGUCCGGGGCUCAACUCCGGAUCUGCGGUGGGUACGGGCAGACUAGAGUGAUGUAGGGGAGACUGGAAUUCCUGGUGUAGCGGUGAAAUGCGCAGAUAUCAGGAGGAACACCGAUGGCGAAGGCAGGUCUCUGGGCAUUAACUGACGCUGAGGAGCGAAAGCAUGGGGAGCGAACAGGAUUAGAUACCCUGG
rnacentral:rRNA from 1 species